GACGAACGCUGGCGGCGUGCCUAAUACAUGCAAGUCGAACGAGAGCAACCGGUGCUUGCACUGGUCAAUCUAGUGGCGAACGGGUGAGUAACACGUGGGUAACCUGCCCAUCAGAGGGGGAUAACAUCCGGAAACGGAUGCUAAAACCGCAUAGGUCUUCGAACCGCAUGGUUUGAAGAGGAAAAGAGGCGCAAGCUUCUGCUGAUGGAGGACCCGCGGUGCAUUAGCUAGUUGGUGAGGUAACGGCUCACCAAGGCCGUGAUGCAUAGCCGACCUGAGAGGGUGAUCGGCCACAUUGGGACUGAGACACGGCCCAAACUCCUACGGGAGGCAGCAGUAGGGAAUCUUCCGCAAUGGACGCAAGUCUGACGGAGCAACGCCGCGUGAGUGAAGAAGGUUUUCGGAUCGUAAAACUCUGUUGUUAGAGAAGAACAAGUGCUAGAGUAACUGUUAGCGCCUUGACGGUAUCUAACCAGAAAGCCACGGCUAACUACGUG
rnacentral:rRNA from 1 species